rnacentral:lncRNA from 1 species
AAAGAAAGCCAAAUAUCACAUUUUAGGGGCGUGGUUGAAGAAGCUGUGUCAAGAGAAGCGGCUGUAAGUUCUUCGAUCCGACCAAGGAGCAAUACAUUUCUCAGUGGAAUUUUCUCUUUGUGUUUGUGGAAGCUAGGUAUGCCAGCCUGAGCUUAACGAGGUUCUUGUAGGGGCAAUUUCCACUGUUUAGUUUGCGUCUUUGCUUCCAGGGUAUAGUCGAGAUUAAAGGCCUCGAAGAGUACACUGGAUUGGUAUCUAUUUCUCUUUAAUUCUGAGAGGAUUUCUUUGCAAUAAUACUGAAGAUCAAAGGUCUGGAUUGCCUCGUGAAUCUUCACUGCCUCUAUUGAAGAAAAAGAAUCUUUGCAUGCCUGAUUAUCGGCCACAUCGAGUGCUUCCAAGUGGGGGAGUUUGUCAAGUCCUUCCACAUCUUUGAGCAAGUUCUAUAAAAACUCAAGUGUGUUCUAUG